rnacentral:ncRNA from 1 species
UUGAGCCGUGUGAGUGCGAAAGUCUCAUGCACGGUUCACGCGGGGAGGGGAGAAAGGUAACUCUCAAACCUUACCCGAC